rnacentral:rRNA from 1 species
UGGGGGAUAUUGCACAAUGGGCGAAAGCCUGAUGCAGCGACGCCGCGUGAGGGAAGACGGUCUUCGGAUUGUAAACCUCUGUCUUUGGGGAAGAAAAAAGACGGUACCCAAAGAGGAAGCUCCGGCUAACUACGUGCCAGCAGCCGCGGUAAUACGUAGGGAGCGAGCGUUGUCCGGAAUUACUGGGUGUAAAGGGAGCGUAGGCGGGCUUGUAAGUUGAAUGUAUAAUCCAUCGGCUCAACCGGUGGCGGCGUUCAAAACUGCAGGUCUUGAGUGAAGUAGAGGCAGGCGGAAUUCCUAGUGUAGCGGUGAAAUGCGUAGAUAUUAGGAGGAACACCAGUGGCGAAGGCGGCCUGCUGGGCUUUAACUGACGCUGAGGCUCGAAAGCGUGGGGAGCAAACAGG